GAUGAACGCUGGCGGCGUGCCUAAUACAUGCAAGUCGAGCGAACAGACGAGGAGCUUGCUCCUCUGACGUUAGCGGCGGACGGGUGAGUAACACGUGGAUAACCUACCUAUAAGACUGGGAUAACUUCGGGAAACCGGAGCUAAUACCGGAUAAUAUAUUGAACCGCAUGGUUCAAUAGUGAAAGACGGUUUUGCUGUCACUUAUAGAUGGAUCCGCGCCGCAUUAGCUAGUUGGGAGGUUAACGGCUUUCCAAGGCAACGAGGCGUAGCCGACCUGAGAGGGUGGUCGGCCACACGGGAGCGGAGCCACGGUCCAGACUCCUAAGGGAGGCAGCAGUAGGGAAUGUUCCGCAAUGGGCGGAAGCCUGACGGAGCGACGCCGCGUGAGUGAUGAAGGUCUUCGGAUCGUAAAACUCUGUUAUUAGGGAAAAACAAAUGUGUAAGUAACUGUGCACGUCUUGACGGUACCUAGUCAGAAAGCCACGGCUAACUACGUG
rnacentral:rRNA from 1 species